GAAAUGCGAUAAGUAAUGUGAAUUGCAGAAUUCAGUGAAUCAUCGAAUCUUUGAACGCAGCUUGCGCUCCUUGGUAUUCCUUGGAGCAUGCCUGUUUGAGUAUCAUGAAAUCUUCAAAGUAAAUCUUUUGUUAACUCAAUUGGUUUCUACUUUGGUAUUGGAGGUCUUUGCAGCUUCACACCUGCUCCUCUUUGUUCAUUAGCUGGAUCUCAGUGUUAUGCUUGGUUCCACUCGGCGUGAUAAGUUAUCUAUCGCUGAGGACACUGUAAAAGGUGGCCAAGGUAAAUGCAGAUGAACCGCUUCUAAUAGUCCAUUGACUUGGACAAUACUUUUAUGAUCUGAUCUCAAAUCAGGUAGGACUACCUGCUGAACUUAAGC
rnacentral:misc_RNA from 1 species